UACGGAGGGAGCUAGCGUUGUUCGGAAUUACUGGGCGUAAAGCGCGCGUAGGCGGCUUUGUAAGUUAGAGGUGAAAGCCCGGAGCUCAACUCCGGAACUGCCUUUAAAACUGCAUCGCUUGAAUCCAGGAGAGGUGAGUGGAAUUCCCGAGUGUAGAGGUGAAAUUCGUAGAUAUUCGGAAGAACACCAGUGGCGAAGGCGGCUCACUGGACUGGUAUUGACGCUGAGGUGCGAAAGCGUGGGGAGCAAACAGG
rnacentral:rRNA from 1 species